GCGGGCGCGGACAGGUUCCGGCCGCCCGCGCACAGGUAGCGCCCGGCGGCGAGCGCCGCGUCGAAGAUGUUGUGCGGGUCGGCUCGCCCGUC
rnacentral:tRNA from 1 species